GAUGAAGAACGUAGCAAAAUGCGAUACUUGGUGUGAAUUGCAGAAUCCCGUGAACCAUCGAGUUUUUGAACGCAAGUUGCGCCCGAAGCCUUUUGGCCGAGGGCACGUCUGCCUGGGCGUCACGCAUCGCGUCGCCCCCCACAAUUCUCCGUAAAGGGAACAUGUGUUUUGGGGGCGGAUAUUGGUCUCCCGUGCUCAUGGCGUGGUUGGCCGAAAUAGGAGUCCUUUCGAUGGACGCACGAACUAGUGGUGGUCGUAAAAACCCUCGUCUUUUGUUUCGUGCUGUUGCUCGCAAGGUAAACUCUUUAAAAACCCCAAUGUGUCGUCUCUUGACGACGCUUCGACCGCGACCCCAGGUCAGGCGGGACUACCCGCUGAGGUUAAGCAUAUCAAUAAGCGGAGGA
rnacentral:misc_RNA from 1 species